AUGUAGCUCAGUGGUAGAGCAUAUGCCUAACAUGUAUAUAAGGCCCCAGGUUCCAUUCCCAGCAU
rfam:Heterocephalus glaber contig60822, whole genome shotgun sequence.